UCCGGCUUAUCACCGGCAGUCCCACUAGAGUGCCCAACUAAAUGAUGGUAACUAAGGGCGAGGGUUGCGCUCGUUGCGGGACUUAACCUAACAUCUCACAACACGAGCUGACGACAGCCAUGCAGCACCUGUCUCCGCGUCCCCGAAGGGAACCCCGACUUUCGCCGGCUAGCGCGGGAUGUCAAGUCCAGGUAAGGUUCUUCGCGUAGCAUCGAAUUGAACCACAUGUUCCACCGCUUGUGCGGGCCCCCGUCAAUUCCUUUGAGUUUUAAUCUUGCGACCGUACUUCCCAGGCGGAUUACUUAAUGCGUUAGCUGCGACACCACAAAGAUUAGGCUUCGUGACGUCUAGUAAUCAUCGUUUAGGGCGUGGACUAC
rnacentral:misc_RNA from 1 species